GUGUAAGAUGAAACAACUAUGACCACAUGAUGGCGAAUAGUCGUGAUCUGAUUAUAUCAUCAUGUCUGUUUAUGUGCAAUAUAAAAGAACCUGAAACUGUUCAGGUUCUUUUUUGA
rnacentral:sRNA from 1 species